rnacentral:lncRNA from 1 species
AAGCACAACUCUCUUCAUCUUGAAGCAAUAACACGUACAAGACAAAACCAUGUUCUGCUGCUGAAACACAUAUAUGAAGAGUUUCUUCAUGCACUUUAUGUGCACUUGUCCUGGGAAAUUGUGUGUUGUGA